GAAAAAGCUCUCCUAAGAGCUACUUAAUAUAAAAUAUAUAUAUACUU
rfam:Charadrius vociferus contig38303, whole genome shotgun sequence.